UUGCUGGGUGGAUAGUGGCGAACGGGUGAGUACACGUGAGUAACCUGCCCUUAACUCUGGGAUAAGCCUGGGAAACUAGGUCUAAUACCGGAUAGGAGCGCCUACCGCAUGGUGGGUGUUGGAAAGAUUUAUCGGUUUUGGAUGGACUCGCGGCCUAUCAGCUUGUUGGUGAGGUAAUGGCUCACCAAGGCGACGACGGGUAGCCGGCCUGAGAGGGUGACCGGCCACACUGGGACUGAGACACGGCCCAGACUCCUACGGGAGGCAGCAGUGGGGAAUAUUGCACAAUGGGCGAAAGCCUGAUGCAGCGACGCCGCGUGAGGGAUGACGGCCUUCGGGUUGUAAACCUCUUUCAGUAGGGAAGAAGCGAAAGUGACGGUACCUGCAGAAGAAGCACCGGCUAACUACGUGCCAGCAGCCGCGGUAAUACCUAGGGUGCGAGCGUUAUCCGGAAUUAUUGG
rnacentral:rRNA from 1 species